rnacentral:sRNA from 1 species
AAGUGCGAGUGGAAGAGCUGGAGCUGUUAAGUUGGCUGUCGCCGUAGCGCAUAUGCUGCGGCAUAUGGCAAACGGAUGUCGCUGCUGCUCAAGUUAACAUCAAACAUAGUUUGGCCGCAGCUAUGUACACUAUUUUGGCCAGCACUGUGCCGACGAUUGACAUUUAAACUUCAAAGUGCCACUGAAAGUAAGGGCAGCGGGCUUAAAAAGCUCUGGCAAAGCUUUCGCCUGAUGGCGUAUGUGCCUAACCUACAGCACACAAGCAGAGCUAACCAACGCACACACACACGCACAAAAAUGCGUAGGAAUUUGUUGGCAACAAACUUGUGUGCGUGUGCGUGUGUGUGUGGGUUUGCGUGCGUGUGAAACUCCGAAGCGGCAGCGCCGAGCCACAAGCAGCGCUGCAAACGAACGGCAAUUUCAGUAGGACAGGCAGUCCUUCGACUGACGGUCAACGCGAGCAGCCACCAAAAGAAUUUAUAAGCAGCACCCAAAAUUAAAACAGGCAGCAAUAGGAGCAGUGAAUGAAAAGAAAAAUCUGGGCAAUAAAAACGAAGUACAAAAUUAACGCAAAGCCAACAACAGCAAUCAACCAAUCAAAAAGCAACAACAACAGCAACAAGAACAACAACUAUUUGCAUGUCUUCGUUCAUUUGCGCUGAAAAUGAUAUAAAAACCUACAUGAGCCACGCUAUAAAUGUCAAACUGAGGUGGGCCGAUUAUCAUGGCAAGCAAUGUACAACAACAGCAACAACAGCGGCAGCAAUAUACUACAACUAGAGCGGAACAGCAGCAGCAGCAGCCAGAAACAA